UUAAGCAAGUGAAGAAUGAUGUGACUUCGUGACACGAUGUCGCUUCAUUUUCUUUCGGAAACAAGGUUAACGCAUUUUUCAAACUUCAUGGAUCCCAAGGAAUUUCACCCGUUUCAAUUUUUUUUUAAAUCGUUCCAAAGAAGAAGAUAUUUCAAGUCUCAAAUGAAUUCUAGGUGCAACAGAGGGAUGAAAAUCAUUCAAACGUAGAAGUUCGACGAAGAAACAUUAGUUUUGGCGUUCAAACAGCAUGGAAUAUAUUAUUUUCAAGAUGAAUAACUUGAAAAGAUUCCGGGUACAACACAACGGAGAAAGAAUAUAGACACAGAGGAGAUGACUGAUCCUGUCACCGUUCCUCUUGAUAAAUUGUUCCUCGAGUUUGCUUUCGUCCACUCCAUCCCCUCCAAAGCCGUGGCAUUGUCAUUUUUAAACAGAUAACAAAUGAUGCUUAUAAUAAAGCGCAUUUAAAACGCAUAACCCGUUCGAGCAACAAUCACUCACGGCGUUUUCAAGCAUUUUUAUUUUUUCGCAAAAGAGCAGCUUGCAAAAGGAGAAUAAAUAUUCUUCGCCUUAGUCCUAUUCAUUUCCUCUCUUGCUAUUCGCCCUUUACUAUCCGUAUAGAAUACCGCAAUUCUCUCAUUCAAACCAUUUCUAAAUGGUUGGAAUUAUUGGAAAUUUGUUGAAUCGAAAGACAAAUUAUUUGUCCUUCCAUGUAACUUCAUAAUCUCGUUAAAUAAAACAAGUAUUAUAUCUAAAAAAAA